GCAUGAUCAUAUAUAUAUUGUGGUUGCCACAGCUGCUGUUUUAGUUAUUUUAGUGAUCAUUUCAGUUUGUGUAGCCAAAAGACACUGCAAAAGACAGAAAAGCAAUGACAUUUACACAAACUACCAAGAGGACCCACAUAAAAACUGGAGGUGUGAUGACGGACAUCUGCCAUGCGAGCGAGAUGAAGACGAAGCAAUUUAUGCUAACACAUAAAAAUAAAUACAAGCAUUAUACCAAAUGUUUAAAGUUUAACUUAAUGGCUAACUCUGAUAGCAUUAUACUUUCAUUUGAAUAUGUUAUUAUGUCUGCAUGUGCUAAACAAUUAUAAUAGUAUUAUUUAUUUAAAAUGUAAAUAUUGCGUGGAUGCAUUGUUAUUUUGUGGUAUUGGUUAACCUGUUUGUUACGCCAUGUAAUC